UACGGGGGGGGCAAGCGUUGUUCGGAAUUACUGGGCGUAAAGGGCUCGUAGGUGGCCAACUAAGUCAGACGUGAAAUCCCUCAGCUUAACUGGGGAACUGCGUCUGAUACUGGAUGGCUUGAGUUUGGGAGAGGGAUGCGGAAUUCCAGGUGUAGCGGUGAAAUGCGCAGAUAUCAGGAGGAACACCGGCGGCGAAGGCGGGAUG
rnacentral:rRNA from 1 species